UACGUAGGUGGCAAGCGUUGUCCGGAUUUAUUGGGCGUAAAGCGCUCGCAGGUGGUCCGAUGCGUCGUGCGUGAAAGACCCCGGCUCAACUGGGGAGUGUCGUGCGAUACGGUCGGACUGGAGGCCAGUAGGGGGAUGCGGAAUUCCGGGUGUAGUGGUGGAAUGCGUAGAGAUCCGGAGGAACACCAGCGGCGAAGGCGGCAUCCUGGACUGGUCCUGACACUCAUGAGCGAAAGCGUGGGGAGCGAGUCCGG
rnacentral:rRNA from 1 species